AAAAGGCACUACUCCACUCAGCUUUUGGUUCCCCAAUGUUGGUAUUUUGGUCAUAGAUAACAGGAGGAAAAGGACCAUGCCAGACACUGAUCUCUUGACUUACAGCAACCUAUAAGAUAUCACACUAACUUUACAGGAUGCUGGCUUCAGCCAAGAACAGCAGUCUUCAAUAUUCUAUUCUUACACUUUAGAAGACUAGCUGCUCCUGGGGACUGAGGAAUGUGAUAGUACCAAUGACUUCCAUAAGUAUCAUCACAUUGCCUUUUAUUCUGCCAUGAUGUAUAUUCUUUGGUCCAAUGUUACAUAGACUCUCAUAAUUCUGCAUUGCAAGGCAUUGGUUUGCAAAGAGAUGGUGCUGGCAGAAGCAUGAUGGAUGGGGAAACCAAAUCCAAAUCCUUUUAUCAAUUCUAUGAUAUAGGUGUUCUUUUUAUUUCCAUUUUAUAUAUGAAGAAACAGAUGAAAGUGACAGAGACAGGAUCCACACCAACUAACCAGCUUCAGCUUCAGUGAAUGGUCUUUUCCACUGAGCCUCUCCUUGGAGAAGUUAGGUGACUCAACCAAAGGAAUAAGCAGGCUUGGUUCUCUAACCACUGCCUUAUCACCCUGUACUCUCCGCUGUACUACCUGCCUGCUUGGGGAAUGCUGGGAAGAGAACAUCAAGGAUUUACAAUCUGUAGGAGACAAAGACAAUAGGAUGGCUAGUGGUUUCCAACCAAGUGACAGCUACUUUGGGCAGCAGGAAGAAAUCUGGACUUCCCACUCCUAUCUCAAACCAAAGUGAAAGUGAAAGCGU
rnacentral:lncRNA from 1 species